rnacentral:rRNA from 1 species
UAGCCUACGGGACGCAGCAGUAGGGAAUUUUCGUCAAUGGGCGCAAGCCUGAACGAGCGAUGCCGCGUGAGUGAAGAAGGCCUUCGGGUCGUAAAGCUCUGUUGCGGGGGAAAAAAGGCAGCAUCAGGAAAUGGGUGCUGACUGAUGGUGCCCCGCCAGAAAGUCACGGCUAACUACGUGCCAGCAGCCGCGGUAAUACGUAGGUGGCGAGCGUUAUCCGGAAUGAUUGGGCGUAAAGGGUGCGCAGGCGGCCCUGCACGCCUG